rnacentral:lncRNA from 1 species
UUUUUUUUGGAAGAGCUCAGGGGGGGCUAAUCAUUUAUGAGGAUUGUCGAGGGGAUUGGAGCUCUGACGUGUGUUCUGCCUGUGGGUCUGAUAUUGUGGGGUACUGAUAGUGUUUCAGCACUUAAGGGGCCGGGAAGUAUAGGGAGAAAGGACACUAGCCCUUUCCAGGGUCUACUUCAGGAGCCGGUAUCGUGUGUCACGCAGCUCGUGUAUGUUCAUUUACGUCUUGUGUGCACUGCCAGCGUGUCGGGGGUGUUCUCCGUCCCCGCGGCUCCAGGGCACGGGGAUGACCGAGGCAGAGCCGAGGUGGGAGCACGGCCUCCAGCCUUCCCCUCAGAGGGAGCCGUCCACUGCUCAGCGAGGCUUCGGGGCAAGUGACGCCCGUUCCCAUCGGGCCUGACGCCCGGGGAUGAGGCGGCAGCGGGGGCCCAGGACGCGGAUCCUCCAACUAAGAGGCCUUUGGUUGGUGCCUCCUCACAAAGGCUCCGGGGCGCCAGAGCUUUGCCCGCCAGGAAGGCUUGCUGUUGAACGAGGCCACGUUGCCUCCGGGAUUCCCAGUUUGACAGUUCACCCCGGUGCAGGGACUCGGGAUGCAGCCAUGCGACAAGAUUGGACCCUUGCACCGCGGGCCGCGGGGAACCGGUUUGUGGAGGGAGGCCGGGCCGGCGGAGCUGGGGAGACGCCGCUCCGAGCAGCAGGACGGUCGACGUCCUCGGGUGAGUGGCCAUCGCCGCAGGGACCCAGCCGACCUCUGGUGCCGCCUCCUCGCCCAGGUGGCACCACCCAUUCCAGCCACAUCAGCCUCCCCCUCCCUUGGCUGGAUUCCUCCUUCCCCAGGUGCAGGCCCCCGUAGCACUUCCUGUGGAAUGCUCUCCCCGCCGCACCCCCGCUCCAAUCUUCAUCUUCUCUCAAAGAACAGCUUCCAUCUUCAGAUCACGGCUGACUUUGGCACGGUCCGUUACGAGACACUGCGGGAUGGGAGCAGCUGGAAGAAGGGGAUAAAGAGGGUAGCUUUAGUUCUCCAGAGGUCGGUGCAACCAGCCUGCUGCCCCGAGGCACGCCCUGCACGCUGCUGGGAAUGUGCACUACCUUCUUGGAGAAACCGGGCAAUUGCACCGACUCAUACAGGCUCCCGGGGCCAGCCAGGAGCAGAGCUGUGUUCCUCGGCACGUCUCCCAGUUCUCCCCCCAGCUCCCCCCGUGGCUGGUUUUUGUGGCUGUGCUGGGAUUCAGACUUCUUUGUGCUCCACGGUGAGAGGUUUGCACUCAGCCGUGAGAUUCGUUCACCCCAGUGCUCCUCCCACCUCGCCCGGUCCCUCAACGCUCCCCCUUUCCUAUGAUCACAGCAUCAAUCCUAAGAUGAGAUUGCUGUGCUUGGGUUCGGUACCUCCCACCCUGCCUCUUACCCCCUGCGUGCUCUCCUGUUGGCUCCUGAAGCAGACCGUGCCCCCCUGAGCCGCGAACCCUGCCCGGCACACACCUUGGCAGGUUGCAGAAGGCCUGGCACCCAGAGCGAUUCGCUUCGCUUGCUCUGUCAACACCGGUGAGCUCACCCACUCCUGGUUGACCAGCCCUACUUCCAGCAGAAAACUCAGGCGGCUGAGUGGGAAGGCAGGAGCCAGGUCGCGUCAGUACCGGUGACGGUGUCCUUCGCCUCCAGCACACGGGCCGCCCCCCCAUCCCCUGGGCUUAGCCAGGUCCACGCACAUUAGCUGUUGGCUAGAUGAACGCAUUCCUGGCACCCAGCAGGUUUCUGAGUGUGGCUGCAUCUCGUGAGGAAGGGAAGAGCGGGCCCAGCGUCCCCCGGAUGAAGGUUUCUACUUCAAAGCAACACGGGUGUGUGGACUUGAUCAAUACGGACUCUGCUCACGCCCAGGACUGUCCACGGGACCCAAGCCUGCGCUCCGCUCUGCGCAGAUGCCGUGAUGCUGAGCAGCAGAGCUCAGUGGCCACGCCUGGCUCCUCACCCUCACGGGCAGACGCCGCGGAAGCUUAGACUCCCACGGUGGCCGUCACGGCCGGUGAUCCCUGCUCAGCUCCUGACGAGCUCCUUGCUGAGGGCUCUGAGCUGACGGGCUUUCUCCGGGUGUUACGCAUCAGGCAUCCAGACCGCUGGCCCCGUAGAGCACCUGCGCACCUGGGAUCCGGCAUCUCCGCGUUGUCUUUGUUCCCUCCCGGGGUUAGGUCUUCAGGGUCCCACCGUGGAGAGAAGACGCCUCGGUGGCGCGCCUCGGUGGAACAGACCACCUCCCACGAUGCCCUGGCACAACAGCUCCAGUCCUGGUCCUCGUGACCCGGGCCUAGGCCAGGAGAGGCGGCAAGGGCAGGCGUAUCAAGCCUGCAUUUCUAGGACCUCACGGGACACAUGAAACUAAAGGGGUCAACGGACAAGCACCCCGGGCAGACCAGCCCAUUUCCCACCCUCCUCUCCCUUCUUUACUCUUGUGAGAACAAGUCAUGUUCCCGAGAAGCCCUACCUCCAUGCCUGAGUCCCUCCUGGAAUAGACCGCGCAGCCCAUUCCUUAGGGCCCAGGUAAAGUGCUCCCUCUUCCGGGAAGCCUACCUGACUGCUUUCGCCCAUUGCGCUCACGUGCGGCUUUCUUUGUACCGCCCACACCCGUUCUCUGGCCACUGCCUUAUCCUUUCAGCCCCUUAAGAACAGGGCACCGCCUGCCCUCGCCUCGUGCCAGGCCUCCUCCCACCUGCCAUCGCCUGGAAGCUUGGGGCUCAGCGGACCGGUCCAAAACCAACACUUAAAACUUAAUCCAGAAUGAUGGUCACUGCCAGGGAGUAUUUCAUUACCAUGACUCAGACAAGUAUGAGAAAGGUCAGCACUGAAAAGGUCAAAAAAAAAAAAAAAAAAGAGAAGUGGCCACGUAAGCAUUGACGACACGGUUUGCAAAGUCCUCCUGUUCCCAUGUGACGAGCGAAAGAGAGAACUUUGCAGAUGGCCCAGAGCGGGGAUUUCUUGGUGAGUCCAGCCCCGGAGGCAAGUGGGGGUUGGACUCAAGUCCUCCUCCUGCUACUAACUUGCUUUCUCUCCUUUGGGCCUCAGUUUCCCCAAGGGUAAGGUAGGGUGUUGGCCCAGCAACUAAAUAUGAUCUCUUCAGUUUCUGAGUUCCCGUGACGACAAGGUCACAUUUGACGUAUCAGGAGGCCCAGGACAGAACACGGGGAUGGGUGUGUCGGGCCGGGGCCAGACGACCCGUCCAGGCAGGGAAACCGCGGGUCGUGGCGCUCGUGCUCCAAGAAAAACCCCCCACCAGCUGCUUGAAAUUAAGCUCAACCAAAUAGUCCAGCCUGAGGGGUCCCAGAUAAGGUCCCAGAGCCACAAGCGGGGGAGCGCGUCCCAACCCUCAGGGCCACCACCGCUGGGGACCUGCAGCUGCGCCCCUUGUCCACGGACGUAUGUUCCAAACCAUGCAUCUCCUCGGGUAACACCUCUUCCAAGUCCCCACCAGACGGUUUGGCGCAGAAAAAACUCUGAGCGGAGGGAGCCCCGGGAAGUCCCCUGCUCCUCAGACUUGCGUCUCAUUUGCAUUCUUUCUUCACGUUUGUUUGUUGUUUUUUUACCUAAAGGCACGUGGCAUGGGCCCCUCCUUGAACAGGGAAUUCAAGCCACAGGAUGUCCAGGCCCCCUCGGAGCUUGGGGCUCCCAAUACUAAAGCUGCAGAAUAAAAGGAGGGACGGGAGCAAGCGUCGGCUGCAUUUGGCCAGCGUCACGGAGCUGUGCUCAGGGCCCUUCAGAGGCCUGGGGCAGAGAACAGCUGACUUCAGCAACACUCGCGGCUACAGUGGAGCCAACUGAUCGACAGGGUAAUUGGGAUAAUUACGAAGCACUGCAGGUCCUUGGAAAAAUUAUAAUCUAUACAAAUUUUAAAAUCAC